rnacentral:rRNA from 1 species
AACGAACGCUGGCGGCAGGCCUAACACAUGCAAGUCGAACGCCCUAGCAAUAGGGAGUGGCAGACGGGUGAGUAACGCGUGGGAACGUACCCUUCGGUUCGGAAUAACCCACGGGAACUUAGGACUAAUACCGGAUACGUGCGAGAGCAGAAAGAUUUAUCGCCGAAGGAUCGCCCGCGUCCGAUUAGCUAGUUGGUGAGGUAAUGGCUCACCAAGGCGACGAUCGGUAGCUGGCUGAGAGGAUGAUCAGCCACCAC